GCAGGUCUACAUCAUGUGGUAGUCUGCUUUUAAAGGUAUUUAAGUUUUGAUGCUACAUAAUACAUAUUCAUGAGAUGGUCUCCAUUCAAGUGGAUGAUAACAAAUGCAUGAGGGAUAGAGAGGAAUGAGUUUCUGGAACACGUCUUCGUAUCUUAGUGUAUGGUGGGUACAAGUAAUGUUUGAUUCAAAAUUUAGACCUUUUUACCAAUAAUCAAUAGCAAAAUUUAGGAUUGUUGAGAAGAGAGGUGAACCUAAAGGCUUCGGUACUACUCUUAGGAUACUAUGUUGCCUCCAGGCCAUGGAUAAGAAUAGUUCAGUCGCUUGAGAGAUUGUUGAACAUAUGAAAUUGAUGGAAAUCUUUGGGCACCCUCAAGUUAAGUUGCUACCAAAA